rnacentral:rRNA from 1 species
UACAGAGGUCUCAAGCGUUGUUCGGAUUCAUUGGGCGUAAAGGGUGCGUAGGCGGCGCGGUAAGUCGGGUGUGAAAUCUCGGGGCUUAACUCCGAAACUGCAUUCGAUACUGCCGUGCUUGAGGACUGGAGAGGAGACUGGAAUUUACGGUGUAGCGGUGAAAUGCGCAGAUAUCGGGAGGAACACCUAUGGCGAAGGCAGCUCGCUGGGACGUUACUGACGCUGAGACGCGAAAGCGUGGGGAGCAAACAGG